GAUGAACGCUGGCUACAGGCUUAACACAUGCAAGUCGAGGGGAAACGACGGGGAAGCUUGCUUCCCCGGGCGUCGACCGGCGCACGGGUGAGUAACGCGUAUCCAACCUGCCUCUGACUGAGGGAUAACCCGUCGAAAGUCGGCCUAAUACCUCAUGGCAUCGUCUGCGGGCAUCCAACGACGAUUAAAGAUUUCAUCGGUCAGGGAUGGGGAUGCGUCUGAUUAGCUUGUUGGCGGGGUAACGGCCCACCAAGGCUACGAUCAGUAGGGGUUCUGAGAGGAAGGUCCCCCACAUUGGAACUGAGACACGGUCCAAACUCCUACGGGAGGCAGCAGUGAGGAAUAGUAGUCAAUGAGCGGGAGCCUGAACCAGCCAAGUAGCGUGCAGGAUGACGGCCCUAUGGGUUGUAAACUGCUUUGAUGCGGGGAUAAAGUGAGGGACGUGUCCUUCAUUGCAGGUACCGCAUGAAUAAGGACCGGCUAAUUCCGUG
rnacentral:rRNA from 1 species